rnacentral:rRNA from 1 species
UGUUCGGAUUCACUGGGCGUAAAGGGCACGUAGGCGGCUUUGCAAAUCGGUCGUGGAAUCCCGACGCUUACCGUCGGAACGGCGGCCGAAAAUACCGAGCUCGAGGGCGCGAGGGGUCACUGGAACUCCUGGUGAAGCGGUGAAAUGCGUAGAUAUCAGGAGGAACGCCGGAGGCGAAAGCGAGUGACUGGCGCGUUCCUGACGCUGAGGUGCGAAAGCUAGGGGAGCAAACAGG